rnacentral:rRNA from 1 species
AACGCGAAGAACCUUACCUACCCUUGACAUCCUGCGAAUCCUGAUGAGAGUUGGGAGUGCCGAAAGGAACGCAGAGACAGGUGCUGCAUGGCUGUCGUCAGCUCGUGUUGUGAGAUGUUGGGUUAAGUCCCGUAACGAGCGCAACCCUUGUCCUUAGUUGCCAGCAUUCAGUUGGGGACUCUAAGGAGACUGCCGGUGAGGAACCGGAGGAAGGCGGGGACGACGUCAAGUCAUCAUGGCCUUUAUGGGUAGGGCUACACACGUGCUACAAUGGGGCGUACAGAGGGUCGCGAACCCGCGAGGGGGAGCCAAUCUCGAAAAGCGUCUCGUAGUCCGGAUUGGAGUCUGCAACUCGACUCCAUGAAGUUGGAAUCGCUAGUAAUCGCGAAUCAGCACUGUCGCGGUGAAUACGUUCCCGGGCCUUGUACACACCGCAUAC